GUUUAAUGUUCCACCAACUCUUGAAGACAUUUAUUACAGGUUCAUUUUUGUGAGUAAUCCCCAGAGGAUUUCCAAUCGCGUUUCAAAUAUAAAAGGUUGAUUCACUAUCAACAAACACAUGUUGUAGUGCCUCGGGUUGUGAAAUCCUGCAACAAAAGCAAGACAAAGAUCUGUUAGUGCCAAACCUAUGUAACGUGUCUUGCAAAGGUAGUUUCUUUUUAAUAAUUCUCCAAGUCGAAAAGGAAAUUUGAAAGGAACUUUUGAGUGCCAAAUCUUGUCUAUAAACUCAUACUUAGGCUUAUGCGUUCUAAUAAGAUCCCAGGCUGCCUUGUUGGUGAAAAAACCAUUUUCAGUGGUGUUCCACAUCGGAUAAUCAUUGAUAUCAUUGUUGCCGAUAAAAAUCCUAGUUAUAUGAUUUAUCAGUUGCCUAGAGAGAGUAUGAUUUAUUUUUUUAAUAUUCCAACCACCAUUAAUAAAGAAUUGUUUAUUACUUGGCUAAAGCACCUUUGCCUGUCCAAUUAUCCCACCAAAAACUAGAACUCCGAGAUCGAAUAUUCCAUAUGAUGUUAGGUUCGGCUUUUUUUUUAAUCCUCAGCAUACUUUUCCACGUAUGAGAGUCAGAAAAGGCAAUUUUUUUAGAGAAGGGAUGAGAUUUUUUAUAAUACUUGGCUCUUAGAAAAGAUGCCUACAGUGAGGGGUGAGUUCUGAACCUCCACCGCCUCUUUAAGGUGAAAGAGUUUGCAAUAUCGUCCAAUUUCCUCAACCCUAUCCCUCUUUCUUCCUUAGAAAUGCACAGGUUCUCCCAGGAAGACAAAUGGUACUUAUCUUUGCCUUCUUUUGUUCCCCAAAGAAAAUUUGCAAAAUGUUUUUCAAUAAAAUUCAAGGUUCCUUUAGGCGGAUUCAAAGCUGAGAGAGUAUAAGUAGGCAUAGAUUGUAGGACAAUUUUGAUCAAAACUAUUUUUCCUCCAUAUGAAAACAUUUUUCCUUGCCACCCAUUAAUAGCUUUGACGAUCUUAGCCAACAUGCCCUCAAAGUAGCAAAUUUUUUUCUUGCCAUGAUAUAUUGGACAUCCCAAGUAAGUGAACGGAAUUUUUUUAUCUAAAAACCCAGAAGCAUCUCUCAUCCUAUUGAUUCUACUGGCAGCAGUAUCAGGAGCAGUGACAAAGAAGCUUUUCUCUUGGUUUACACUCUGUCUAGAUGCUUUUUCAUAUCCCUUGUUUCAAAACGAGCUUGAUUGAUCUGGUAUUGCCACAUGUAAAAAUAAUAAUAUCAUCAACAUAUGCUAAAUGGUUAAUGAUAAGAUUAGAGGUAUUCAUACUGAAUGGAGUAAAGUUUUAAUUGUCAUUAAGAUUGUUAAUGAGCCUAGAUAGCACCUCAGCAUCUAUAAUGAACAAGGAAUGAGAAAGAGGAUCUCCCUGUUUAAGACCCUGACAAGAAGAGAAGAAACCUAUCCUGGCACCAUUAAUAAUUAUUGACUACGACACAUUUGAUAAAAGCCUCCAGAUAAUGUCUAACUAAUCCUCAGAGAAGCCGAUCUUUCUCAUAAUAGCCAUUAGAAAGUUCCAUGACAUUCUAUUGUAGGCCUUAGCCAUGUCUAAUUUGAUGAUCAUGUUACCACCUAAGUUGUCUUGUUUAAUCCCGUGGGCUAGCUCUUGAGCCAAUAACACAUUCUCAGUAAUCAUCCUACCUUUGACAAAAGCACUUUGGUUAUCAGAAAUAAUUUUGUCAAGCAGGGGGUUAAGUCUCUUGGACAGAAUCUUAGUGAUGAUUUUUGAAGAGAAGUUGGUCAAGCUGAUAGGUCUGAGGCCUGAGAAAGUAGAAGGUGAUUCAACAUUUGGAAUAAGAACAAGGCAGGUAUGAGAGAAAAACUUGGUAAGGUUUUUGCCUCUGAAAAAAUCUUGAACAAAAUUUCGUAUGUUAUAUUUGAUCACACAUCCCAACACUUGUGAUAAAAAACACCAUUGAAACCAUCCGGACCAGCAGACCUAUCGGUGUUCAUACUAAAGACCACCUCUUUUAUCUCUUCUAAAUCAGGUAUGUUGGUAAGACUAGAAUUUUCCUCCUCAGUAAUGACACUUUGGAUACUCUCCAGGAUACUAGCAUCCGUAAAUUGAUGAUGAAGGUUAAAAAGCUUCUUGUAGUGGUGUAUUGCAGCCUUGCUAAUCUCCUCAUCACCUUGGACCCAAUUAUCCCUAUGAUCUUUAAUUCUGUGUAACUGUAAUCUCCUUCUUCUUUCUCGGAUCAAGCUAUGGAAAUAUUUGGUGUUGAAAUCUCCUUAUUCAAACCACUUGGUCUUAGCCUUUUGUCUGAGAAGAUUCUCCUGGAUGCUCAUCCAUUUUAUGUAAUUGUAAUGACUUUUUAUUUGCUUGUUUGUCUUUGAGAGUGUAAGUACUUUGAUGCACUUUUUCUGUUUUUUUUUCUCCUUUCUCCUUUCGCAAUGUCCUCUCAUGUGUAUUUUUAAAAGUACGUGCUCUACACAUGUAUUUUAUGUUAAAUAUAUAUAAAAAGACAAUUAUUCAGAAAAAAAAAGUGAACUGAUUGCAAUUCAAUCAAAAUAAAGAACCCCAACAAACAUAAAGUGAUUGUGAAAAGAACACAAAGCCAUAUAUUUCCCUGUUGAUAUGCAAAAUUAUAAGUUCUUUCGUCCUCUAUUUGCUCCUUUCUUUUUCGAGGAAGAGACCCUAAUCCGUUUUUCUGUAAUUAAGUAAUAGAAAUUGCAAUAUGUCAAUUUUCUUCAUGUUCUCUUUAGAUUUCUAAUUUCGUAUGGGAGUCUAAUUAAGGGUUUAUAUCUUUAACUAUUAAAUUAAAUCUUCAUCAUAUUUGUUUGGCAUUAAAAAAUUUGAGGAUGUUGGAGAAAUAAUUUAAACAUCUUGAGAUUAGAUAAGCAAAGACUAUUGAAUUGGUGUCUCAUCCACAAAUAAUAAACAUGUCAUUUACUAUUUGUCUUAACUCUUAAGUGCAAAAUAUUUAAAAUUAACUAAUCCUGAAAUAUAUGGUAAAAGAAAAAUGGUUCAAAAAAUAUUAUGAGAAUUAAUAAUUAAGGAGUUUUAAAAUAUAUAUUAAGAGGAAUAUAUAUAUAAAAGUUAAGAAGUAUUAAAAAUUACAUAAAUACACAACUUAUGUUUCCAAUAUUACAAAAAAUUCUAACUUCCUAAACAUAUUACAAAAAUCUCAACAUAUUCACAGAAUGCUAUGUAUAUGUAGGCUAUGUUAUGUAUAUUAAUAGGGAGAGAGAGUAAAGUAAUUUAAAAAAGUGAGAGAGAAUAUAAUUACUUCCAAAAGGGUUGAUAUUUAUGUUAUUUGUACUUUAUUUUAUGAGUAUAUUUUCCUUUUUUCAUUGGUACUAGUUAAGUGCACAUGUUUUGCACGUGUACAUCACAUCAACUAUUUAACACGGUAAGAAGAUUAAUUUUUUUAAAAAUAGCUAUUGAUGUUACACUAAAUGCGAUACUACCGUUUAUUUACAAAACAAAAAUAAAUAUUAUUAUAUUAAUACAAUAAUUGAAUUCAAUAGCUUUUAAACAUGUAAAGAUGAAGAAUUUAGUUGAAUCAAUAAUAUAGUAUUUGUAAUAUCUAAGAUACAAAUAUGUUAGAUUAAAUGUAUUGAGAACCCUUUAAAUUUGCCUAUAGAUUUUUAAGUUCUACCAAUUUACUUACGUAUAUUGUGUCGAGUAGUAUAAAAGAAAACCUAUCUAGCUUAAUUAUUUUAAUAUAAAAAUAAACAUGUUUAGUUGUUGUUGAUGUCUAUGUUUUUCUUUAUUUCAUAUUGAAGUUGAUGUUAGUUGCACAAUCCGUAAAAUUCAACAUAAAAGAACUAUGACAUGAACAUGAUUUGAACUCCUACACAACAUGAAGUUUUUACCAAUUUGAACUAUGUUAAAGCUUUUACCAACACUUGAAGUUAAGAAGAAUAAAAAGAUCUAACAUUUUGCCACAACAAAAAGGAGCAAAUAUAUUUUUAGUUGCUCGAAGUUUGAACAACCUAUUGGCGAGAAAGUUAACAUGCCGAAAGUAAAUGCACACAUUUGUUUGUCCAAAUUUUCUAUCAGAAAUUUUCAACUGAAAGAGAAACACAAGAAAUUGUUAAAAGGGAGAAUACAUUAUGAAUGUUAAAAUUUAUAAUUCAUAUAUAAUCUUUAAAUUUAUUAACUAAAAGAAAUAAAAAAAGAUAAAAAGAAUGAUGAUGAAUUUAAGAAGAGACUUGAACCAAAACUACAAGAAAAAGAAAAGUAGAAGAAGAGGCUUUUGUUUUAAUGUAAAGUUUGAUCAAAAUGUUACUUAAAUAGAAUUAUGAAAUUUUUUCUUUUUUUUACAUAAGAUAAAAUUUUAAUUAAUUUAGAAGUGUUAAAUGAUUCACUUUUUGUAUGCAUAAAUAGAAUUUUACUUUGUUUGAGACUAAAAAUUAUGGAAGUAAGAGAAAUUCACACAAUUUUUUUUUUUGGAACCACUUAUUUUUCAAUAAAAAUUUAAAGAAAGAAACAUAAGAAUUUGUCGUUUAUGAAAAAAAAAAUUAUAUCAAAUUUUGUUUUGGACUUCACAUACCUUCCUUAAAUAAGAGUAUUUGAUUAGGACUUAAUAAUACUUUUUCUAGUUAAAUAAUAUUUUUUAAAUGUGAAAUGACUAUUUUGUCUAUUGGGAAUAGUUUUAAUGAAGGGCAAAAACUUCAAAUCACUUUUUUAAGGGUUUUCACAUUUUUAAUAUAUUAUAGAUAUAGAUUAUAGAUUAUAGAUUAUAGAUUAUAGAUAUAGAUAUAGAUUAUAGAUUAUAGAUUAUAGAUAUAGAUAUAGAUAGAUUAUAGAUUAUAGAUAUAGAUAUAGAUAUAGAUUAUAGAUAGAUUAUAGAUAUGUUUGUAGACGAAAAGAAAAAUAACAAGUUUUCUGUUGCCUUCGUGAGCAUUUUAAAACAUUCACUUUUAUUUUUAUUGUUAUUAAUUUGCUAUUAGUUUGAUAUAUAUAACUCUAUCUAUCAAUAAGAAUUUCCUCUUUCUAAUAGAUAAAUUACCUAUGAUACUAUUAAUAAUAACUCUAUCUAUCAAUAAGAAUUUCCUCUUUCUAAUAGAUUAAUUACCUAUGAUACUAUUAAUAAUAUUAUUGUGAUUUUGAAAAGAAAGAGUCCUAAAAUAUAUGGUAAGAGAAAAAAAAUGUAAAAGUUAAGAAGUACUAAAAUAUAUGAUAAAAGAAUAGUAUAUGUUAAGAGUUCUAUGAUUGUAUUUUAUGAAUAUUUUUUUUUCAUUGAUGUAUGUGUGCAGACGAAAAGAAUAAUAACAAAUUUUCUGUUGCCUUCGUAGGCAUUUUAAUACAUUCACUUUUAUAUUUAUUGUUAUUAGUUUGAUAUAAGCCUAUCUAUCAAUAAGAAUUGCCUCUUUCUAAUAGAUUAAUUGCCCAUGAUACUAUUAACAAUAUUAUUGUGAUUUUAAAAAAAGAUCUCUGAUUUGGUUCAGUCAGGUAAUUAUGAAAGUUAAUUCUCUAUCUUAAAUUUCAAGAAUCUUGAUAAAAAUACUAUCUUUUUGAACUUUUUCCUUAGUUUUUAUCUUCAGUAAGUUUUUAUCAUGUUGUAUGCUUGCGAUAUUUGAACACGGUCUCGGUCCUUUUCUUGAGCCGGGGGUCUAUCGGAAACAACCCUCUCUACUUCUUCGGAUGUAGUGGUAUGGACUGCGUACAUUCUACCCUCUCCAGACCCCACUAUGCGAGAAUAUACUGGGUUUGUUGUUGUUGUUGUAAUCAUAUUGCGCAUAGAUUAAUUAGUUAGUUUCUUCUUCACUUUCCAAUGCAAUAUGUGGAGAAGCAGUGCUGGGAAUUAUGCAUACAAAGAACCAUAAUAUCCAAUAAGGUACGACAACUGAAACAUAGUAAAUAAUAGAAACAGAAGUCAUGGACUCCCUUAGUAGGCUAAUCCUAUGACAGAUACGUGCUCUAAACUACCAAAUUAGUUCCAAGCAGUGGAAGUGCUUGCUUUAUUUUAAUGUCAGCGUUGCUCACACUGAAAUAUUGGCCCUUUUUUAUAUUUAGGGUAUUGAGACUCCAAGCAGGACACAAAUGUCUCUUAGGUAAGCUUUCAUCAGCGGUUGGAUGGAACCAUUACGACACAAAACUAGCCCUGGGCAUCUCGCCUAGUGGAUUUGCUUAAAAAAAAAAAAGGAACCAUUACGACACUAUCAAAGUGAAUCUCUGGCUUUGUCCUUUGUAUUUAACCCAUCUUAAUUGUUUUGAAUAGUGGGAGUAUCCAAGUGUAUAAGUUGUCAUGUAGAUAUAUCAUUGUGCCUCAUUUGACUCUUCCAUCUUCAUGUUAUCUUGAACAUAGAUAGUUAUAGGUUUCACAUUGUCCAUUUCACUGUGUCCUCCUUACGUAGUUUUAUUGCUAAUCGAAAUUUAUUCUUUUUGGUUGUAUGUGUUUCUGUGGUCCCUACUGUUAUUUGGAUAGUUGCUUACUUCUCUCUUGAAACAUGAUUACUACAAGAGCUUGAGCACAAGGGAAAGGAGACAGCUAAGUCACUUAUGAGAGGAGAAAGCAAUUGGCCAAACUCAGGGUUAAGGUGAGGGGAAUCAAGUAUUAGAUAGUUUAUCUAUGGUGAAAUUUGCUGGAUAUUGACAUUUCAAAUUUUGUUUUCUAAAGAUGCUACCCUGUACAGCAUGGUUCAGUUUGCAGACUUCAUUAUUUUUUAUAUUCGUUCGGAGCUAUUUAUCUUAUCGUUUAUUGAUGCUCAACUCUAUAAUAAACAAAAUUAUCAUUUAUUAAUACUCUCAAAUAAUUGUUAUUUGAUUAUUAUCAUAAUUUGAAGUCAACUAAAAUCUUGAUUGUUAAAAAUCUUUUCUUAUUUGAAAUGUAUAACACUCCUAAUAUCUAAAACUUUAAAAUUACUAGAAUUUUUCGUUCUGAAAUUUUUCUUAAUUGAACUAUAAUAUUAAAAGUCCUAACAUUUAAGACUUUCAAAUCAAUUUACCAGCAAUUUUGUUAACUUAUAGCAAUUAUAUAUUUUUCUUAUUAGAUAUAAUUAAAAAAAUCGUGUAGCAAGACGCAUAUUAAAUUUACGAGUUCUUUUGAAGACGUUGAUAAUCAGCGACUUAGUUUAAACUCCAUUGCUUAUUUUAUCACAAUAUUAAACUCAUCUAAUAAAUCUAGUAUGUGUUUGAAACUAUAGCAUCAUGUAUUUUUAAAACCAACAACAAUAACGUAUCCAGUGUAUUUCGACAAAGUGGAAUUUGAGAUAGGGUGUGGCGGUAGUGGGGGGUUUAGAUUUCAGAAAAGUUUUAUGUGAUCAGUAGAAAAAUUAAAGCAGUGUUGAAGGAGAUGAAGAUAGGAAUCUGGAAAUAAAGAGAGAAAGAGAAGGGAAAUAUAAAUAUGUAUCCUUUCUAUUACGGUAGAAAAUAAUUAAAGUCCAGAUUGUAAUCUUAUAUUACUAUUUUCUUAUUUAUAUUUAAAUAUUAAAAGAUUAAUAUUUAAGAAUCUUACCUAUUAAAAAAAGUUCUAUUAAAUGAAAAAAACUACUUAAAAGGAAGUUUUUUUUACUUAUUAAACAUGUAUUUUCCAACUCAAAGUAAAAUAAUAAUUAGUUUCUGCAUGAUCAGAAACAUAAGGGUCAAAUAAUUAAGUAGAAAAUACAACUAAUCUAUACGUUGUAUAUUUCAUAUUUUUCCAUUUUACUGAUAUCUAACACUUUAAUCUAAAAAUGAUUUAAUUUAUUGUAAUUAAAUUUUAUAGAAGAAAAACAUCAAAAGUAAGAAUUUUAUUAAGUGUUUCUAAUAAGUAAAUUGGCCUUUGUGUAUUUUUUAUUUUUUAUUUUGGAAAUUAAAGAUCACUUUAUUAAUUAUCAAGUGAAAUAUUUACAAAACUAAGGGAUGAGACAGGCCAUCAAACCUUUCUUAGAAAUUUCUCAAUAUCUUGGAUGCUAACUAGUUCUACCGACACUAUACCUCAUAGACUUCUAAUAUAACCAAAAAGCUUAGGAUUAAUUCUAACUCUAAUGCAUAACAUCAUUUUUAUGGCUCGAAUUAGCUCCUCCACUGCAGCUGUUUCUUUUCGGAAAACUCUAUUAUUUCUUUCCAGCCAGAGAGUGUGCACAACAGCUGCCAAGCUUGCCUUCAAGAUGACCCCUCGAGUAUGUGUUCCUCUUAUUCGAUGCUCUACCCACUCCCACAUGUGUAUCCAGUCUCUAGGACAGUCAUCCCAUCUCUGCCACUUUAAGAUAGCACUCCAUGUUGUAUUUGUAAUUUUACAUUCAAAGAACAAGUGAUCUCUCGUCUCAAGUUCUACCUAGCAGAACACACAUUCAGGCUCCACAUUCAUACCCCACUUCAAUAGCUUAUCUCUCAUUUUUAUACUACCAUGCAUACUUAGCCAUAACAUAAAUACAUGCUUUGGUUCGGCAACAUUAUGACAUAACAACUUUGUCCAAAGGAUAUUAUCAAGUCCACCUUUUAUUUUCUUAUAGGCUUUGGUGAUUUGAAAUUUUCCUUGCACUACUAUUUGAUUCAUAUCACCCAAUUCUUUGCCAGAGUUUCUUCAUUAUGCAUAUUUUACUGAUCAUCCAGCUAGCAUGCUGAGGGAUGUUCAUGUCAAAUACAUUCUGCCUCUUUAUAUAGUAAUGAUGUAUCCAAGCUAUCCAUAGCUUUUCUUUUUGUUGACUAAGAUCCCAUAGUAGCUUACAAAUAGCUUCUUGAUUCCAUAUUUGAAGAUUGAUUAGAUUAAGCCCUCCUGCCUUCUUUAGUUAGCAAAUUUUCUCCCAUGCCACUAGUGCUUUUUUGGUGAUCAUUGCUUCUCCUGACCAAAGGUAACUUCUGCAUGUAGCCUCUAUAAGCUUGAUUAUCUUUUUAGGCAUUAAGAAUAUCGGGUACCAAUAUGCUUGCACUCCACAUAACAAUGAUCUGAUCAGCUGCAAUCUCUCAGCAUAAGAUAGACUCCUAGUCAUCCAGGAAGUAAUCUUAGAAGUAAUCUUCUCUACUAAAGUCUUACACUGUUGCACUGUAAGCUUUUUGAUAGAUAGAGGUAUUCCUAAGUUGUAAUACCCUAGAUUAUCUUUAAGAAGAGUAAAGGCUGAUUUUCCAAGUGAGAAAUAUUUUAAAUUGCGUAGAAUUUUCCUAAUACCGACUUUUUGUCAUGUAGAGAAUUGAAUUAGCUUUCCAACAAUACCAAUUUCUUUCAAAUACGGUAUCGGGAUGAGAAGUUAUGGUCGUUUUACUGAGAGUAGUCGGAACCGCCCAGGUGCGACGGACAGGUUGACGGACCGUCGAGUUUGUAAUGGACCGUCGCAACCAAGGCAGUGACUCUCUCUCUUCUGACCCAAGUACGAUGGACAAGACGACGGACUGUCGCUAGGACCGUCACAACUAAGGCAGUAUGGCCUUUUUGUGACCAACGUGCGACGGACGAUCCGACGGACCGUCAGACUAGUAGCGAACCGUCACUUCGACCAUCGCAAAUCCCCUUCAGUAUUUUUAAGUCAUUUUUAAAAGGAUCUUUUGGGUCUUUUUCCUUUUAAUACCCUGAUAUAUUCAAAACGAAGCAUAUGACUUCAUUAUCUCCCAAAACAUCCAAAGGCUAGGAUUUCUUCCUCAAGAACAAACCCAAAACCCUUCUCCAAGAAAUUCAAGAACUCACCAUAGAUUCUAAGUUUAUUAAGGAAGUUGCCACCUAAUUAGUUUUACGGUGAAUUAGGAGACCUAUUAUAAACUAUGUGAUUAAAGCAAUUAAAGACUUCAUUUUAAGGUCAACUUAACUAGCAAUUCUAGGUAAGGAUUCUAAUUAUCCUAAAAGAAAUGAAUUAGGCAUCCUAUAGAAACCGCAAAACUACAGUUAACCGACCAAACUUAAGUUAAUAAAAAAAUCAUGUUAUGGAAAUAGCUAAAAAGAGUAAUUAUUGUGAAGGAGGAGAUUAGAACUUUUAAAACAAGUCGCUAAAAACAUACUUAGCAAACUUUGUUCAAACUUUGAGACUAGUGACCAACUGAAAAUUAUUUUGAGCUGCUAGUAUUACCAAAAGAAGGUAUCAAAUAAUCCCCCCUUUCUCUUAUUAUUAUUUUUUUUUUAAAAAAAAAAGACAUAAGCUUAGAAUAUUUUUUACAGAAAAGGGUCUAAUAUAUCCUUUAACUAUUGAAAAUGGUAUAUAAAUACCCUCCUUCCACCUUUAGGCUCAAAAAUACUCUUCCAUCUAUCUAUUUGGCUCAAAAAUACCCUUAAUGUAUUAGAAAUGACUCAAAAAUGCCCUCCUUCCUCUAUCGGUUCAAAAAUACCCCUUCAUCCAUCUAUUUGGAUCAAAAAUGUCUUAACAUUAAAUUUAAGUCCAAAAAUGUCUCCUCCUUUUAACAAAUUCUGAUGUGAAAUAUAAUUUUAUUUAAAUUAAAUACAUGACAUUAUUUUUACUGGUCCACAUGUAAUUAGACUCAAAUUCAUUCACAAUUUAAUGGUCCUCUUUUCACUAAUUUUUUUAGUUAUAUAUAAAAAAUUAAAAAGAAUUAAUUAAUGUUUAAGUGCAAAAUUAGAAAAGAUUUUCUUAAAUAGAAUAAUUAGCAAAGGGCAAAUAUUCUCAUAGUUAAUGGUUAUCUAUGUGUGCUCAAAUAUUAGAAAACAUAUUUUAGGUAAAAUUUUGAAGACUUUUAGUUCUUUUUAGGUUUUGAACUUUUUAUAUAAACAAGAAGAAGCUUGAAAGUAAUUUAAGUCUUUAUUUAAUUUAGGUAAGAAUGCAUAGUAUUUUACACUUCUAUCUUUCUCCAACAUGAAACCAUAAAAAUAGUAUUAAUACAAAGAUAAAUAGUAAUGAUAUAUAUANNNNNNNNNNNNNNNNNNNNNNNNNNNNNNNNNNNNNNNNNNNNNNNNNNNNNNNNNNNNNNNNNNNNNNNNNNNNNNNNNNNNNNNNNNNNNNNNNNNNNNNNNNNNNNNNNNNNNNNNNNNNNNNNNNNNNNNNNNNNNNNNNNNNNNNNNNNNNNNNNNNNNNNNNNNNNNNNNNNNNNNNNNNNNNNNNNNNNNNNNNNNNNNNNNNNNNNNNNNNNNNNNNNNNNNNNNNNNNNNNNNNNNNNNNNNNNNNNNNNNNNNNNNNNNNNNNNNNNNNNNNNNNNNNNNNNNNNNNNNNNNNNNNNNNNNNNNNNNNNNNNNNNNNNNNNNNNNNNNNNNNNNNNNNNNNNNNNNNNNNNNNNNNNNNNNNNNNNNNNNNACAAAAACUAUAUAAUAAUAAAAAAUUAUAAUUAAAAAAACUCAGAAAUAAUAUAAUAAUAAAAAGUUGUAAUUAAAAAAAACCCAAAAUAAUAUAAUAAUAAAAUAAAUUGUAACUAAAAAAGCCCAUCACUACGUGAAACCAAAAAAAUAAUAUACUAAUUAAUGUAUAUCUAUUCCACCAAAAAAUAUAUAAUAUCAUAAUUAAAAAAUUGUAAUUACAAAAAAAUUACCCCUACGUGAAACUAAAAAAAAUAAUAUAAUAUAAAAGAGGAGACAUUUUGGGACUUAAAUUUAAUGUUAAGGGCAUUUUUUAUCCAAAUAGGUGGAUGAAAGGGUAUUUUUGAACCAACAGAGUAAGGACAUUUUUGAGUCAUUUCUAAUACAUUAAGGAUAUUUUUGAGCCUAAAGGCGGAAGAAAGGUAUUUGUGUACCAUUUUCAAUAGUUGAAGGGUAUAUUAGACCCUUGUCCGUAUUUUUUAAGCAAGUGGCAAAAACGUUAAACCAUAAUAAUGCUCCUUUCCUUUAUGUAAAUCUAUCUUCAUGACUUGGUCAUGGUAAUAAAAUAACUACUUAUUCAAUACUAUGUGAUUUGUUAUUGAAAUAUAAUAACAGAAAAAAAAAAAAAAAAACUAAUUGUUUAAACUCCUAGAGAGAUUAAAAGAAUUCACGUCUAGAAUAUUCAUUGGACCUAGUAUUUUACAAUCUAACAAAUAUUAUCAGAUCAAAAUUGGCAAAGCUGCCACUUUGAAGAAAAAGAGAUUUUAGUUUGUGACGUCUCGGCCAUUAAAGCCUUUUCAAAAAUCAAAGGCAUUUUAAAGAAAUGUUAGUUACAGGGUUCGAUCGAACGUUAAGCAUAGCGAGCUACCUUUUUCAAAGUUAAAAGUAUUUUAGGACUACUUCUCUAUAAAAUUACCUUGCUAUUAAUCUAGUGCUUAAAUGACAUUCAAUAGAUAACCUCAAACUUCAGGAAAAGAAAAGAAUCCAGUCACACAUAGAUAAGCUACUAAUAAAAACAAAACAGUGUAAUCGUAAUAAUAAUAGUAACAAAUGAUAAAUAAAGGAAGACACCCUAACCGAUCCCAAUGUUUCACUCGUUUACUUGAUGGUUGAGGCAUUCUAAGAAAGACAAUGUACGACUCCAAGCACGGAUAUGUUAAGAGUGUCGUCUUGAGACCCCCUUUUUGCGAGAGUCCCAGGUUAAGACUCCAUUUGCUCCAAAGUGUACAUGUGAAAAGAAAGUAACUGAAUUAGUAAGGCAAUUUAACUUAACUUACAUGAAUCAAAUAAAGUUGCAUAACGAAUAUAUUAUCCAAAGAACGAAGUGUGCACAAAUACAGAAUGAGAUAAACUUUUUGACUAAACUCAAAUUUGCUAAAUCCUAACACAUAUAUUUUACACACAAGCUAAGCUUCAGGUCCAUCCGCUUUAAGCUAGAAUGAGUUCACUACAAAAAUAUACAGGAUGACAUGUGAUCUAUGCAUUUAAAAGGAAACAAUUCGCACACAUACUCUAGCAAAUAAAAUGGGUACAAUGACCCAAAAAAUCCAUAUAUGUAAUGCGUACAGUGACCAAAAAUCCAUAUAUGCCAAGAACAUGAAAUGAAAUACAUAUGGGUUCAUUCAUUUCCUAUGAAAGGAAAUAAUUAUAGAUGGUCUGCACAACAUUUCUAAGUAAGUGGAAUAGCAAACAUCUAACACGUUCCUACGUUGAAAGGCAUGUGUUCCAAAUUUCUUAUUCGAGAAGAAACAUUAACGCGUAAAGGGAGUAAUGAAACUAGUAAAGCAUAUCAAUUCAUAGAACCAAGAAAAAUCGCACAACCAACGUAGCAUUCAAAAGAUGAGAUGAACAAAUGCCAAAUUCAAUGACUUUCUAUCAACCCAAAGUAGCUAAGUCAUUCAUGUUUAAGCUAUAGCAAGACUACUAAUUUAAAGUAUGUAUGAAAUUUAAACAUAGUCCCUUAUACAUGUUAUAAGAUAGACAAAAAAAGAAAAUUCUACGUAUUUUAACCAAAAGAAAGGGAGCAACUAGUCUAUAUCCUAUUUCAAACUAAGUGGAAAUUGUCAUAAAUAGACAUACCCUUAAAAGCAUGAACUAUAUAAAAGCUUUUACCAUACAGAGAUUCCAGGCAACAUAAGCACAAAACAAAAUUGAUUUCAAAUGGAUGUUUACUCACGAAAACAGAACCAUCCCUUAAGUCGUGAUGGCUAAGACGUGAAAGAUGCAUGACUUCAAAUCUAUACGGACUUCAGAAGAAAUAGAACUACAUGCUUUAGGAUCACUAAGUAUUAUGAUUAAAUUAGACAAAAAUUACCUACAACCCAUGAAUUUCGCACAACAUUUAUCACAGAGCCAAGAUAGAGGAAAAGGCAGGCAAAUAUAACCUAUUGCAGGACAGUGAAGGGGAGUGCUUCAUCACCGGUCUAAACUCGAAGUCAAACAACGACGAUGAUAAAAUCUGCUACAUAAUGUGGGUACUCACACUACUUCAUAGCUAGAAUAGCUCACAAGAGAAAGAAGAAGAUGAUCAAAAUGUUUAUUGAUGUAAUGGUGAGAACUGGAAGUUACAGUUUUUAUUCCUAGCUGACUUAGUGUCUUAUUUAUAGAAUUUAUACAAAGUAUCUAGAAGCAUCUGGAAGCUUCUCAACUUGUAGUGUCCUAGCUGGCAAUUAGUUAUAACUAACUAACUACUCCUUGCAACUAAUUAACUACUUCACUGUUGGACAAUGCAACAGACUUGGCAAUAACCAGUAACUAU
rnacentral:lncRNA from 1 species